rnacentral:rRNA from 1 species
UGAGUGCGAGCUUCUACGGAAGCGAAGUUGGUGAUGUCAAGCUUCCAAGAAAAGCCCUAUACCCGUUAAGGCAUGAUUACCUGUACCCGAAACCGACACAGGUGGGGUGGUAGAGAAUACCGAGGGGCGCGAGGUAACUCUCUCUAAGGAACUCGGCAAAAUGACCCCGUAACUUCGGGAGAAGGGGUGCCAGCGCGAGCUGGUCGCAGUGAAUAGGCCCAGGCGACUGUUUACCAAAAACACAGGUCUCCGCUAAGUCGCAAGACGAUGUAUGGGGGCUGACGCCUGCCCAGUGCCGGAAGGUUAAAGAAGUUGGUCAGCGCAAGCGAAGCUAACGACUGAAGCCCCGGUGAACGGCGGCCGUAACGAUAACGGUCCUAAGGUAGCGAAAUUCCUUGUCGGGUAAGUUCCGACCCGCACGAAAGGCGUAACGAUCUGGGCGCUGUCUCGGAGAGAGGCUCGGCGAAAUAGAAUUGUCUGUGAAGAUGCGGACUACGUGCACCCGGACAGAAAGACCCUAUGAAGCUUUACUGUAGCUUGGUAUUGUGCUCGGGCUCGCAAUGCGCAGGAUAGGUGGGAGGCUUUGAUCCAUUGCUUGUGGGUGAUGGUGAGCCACUGGUGAGAUACCACUCUUUGCGAGCUAGGGUUCUAACGGUUACCCGUUAUCCGGGAACCGGACAGUAUCUGGUGGGCAGUUUGACUGGGGCGGUCGCCUCCUAAAAGGUAACGGAGGCGCGCAAAGGUUUGCUCAGGCUGGUUGGAAAUCAGCCGACGAGUGUAAAAGCAGAAGCAAGCUUGACUGUGAGACCUACAAGUCGAACAGGGAGGAAACUCGGCUUUAGUGAUCCGACGGUUCUGAGUGGAAGGGCCGUCGCUCAACGGAUAAAAGUUACUCUAAGGAUAACAGGCUGAUCUCCCCCAAGAGUUCACAUCGACGGGGAGGUUUGGCACCUCGAUGUCGGCUCAUCGCAACCUGGGGCUGAAGUCGGUCCCAAGGGUUGGGCUGUUCGCCCAUUAAAGCGGUACGCGAGCUGGGUUCAGAACGUCGUGAGACAGUUCGGUCCAUAUCCGGUGCAUGCGCAGGAAUAUUGAGAGGAUUUCUCCCUAGUACGAGAGGACUGGGAGGAACGCACCUCUGGUGUACCAGUUAUCGUGCCAACGGUAAACGCUGGGUAGCCAUGUGCGGAGUGGAUAACCGCUGAAAGCAUCUAAGUGGGAAGCCCACCUCAAGAUGAGUAUUCCCAUGGCUUAAGCCAGUAAGGUCACGGGCAGAACACCCGUUGAUAGGCUCUAUGUGGAAGCGCAGUAAUGCGUGAAGCAGAGGAGUACUAAUAGACCGAGGGCUUGACC